rnacentral:rRNA from 1 species
CUUACGCUAAGGGGCACUCUAAUGAGACUGCCGGUGACAAACCGGAGGAAGGUGGGGAUGACGUCAAGUCCUCAUGGCCCUUAUAGGUGGGGCUACACACGUCAUACAAUGGAUGGUACAAAGGGUCGCCAACCCGCGAGGGGGAGCCAAUCCCAUAAAGCCAUUCGUAGUCCGGAUCGCAGUCUGCAACUCGACUGCGUGAAGUCGGAAUCGCUAGUAAUCGUGGAUCAGAAUGUCACGGUGAAUACGUUCCCGGGUCUU